UAUCAAUAUUAAAGCGAAAAUUUGAUCAGCGAUCUCUCCUUCUAUCUUGCCAUACUUUCUCUGCCCUAACCGAUCAGGAUCGUGAUACGAGUCCUGGUUUAAAUUUCACACAGAGAGCGGCGCGAGCUGGGCGGAAGUGAGGUUGGAGCGCAGAGCUAGUCGUGAAGGUAUGUGUAAUCCUCGAGCUCCCACUGCAUUCUUCCCUCUUACAACGUCAACGCAAAGAGUAUCAGAAAUAAGGUCCAGCUGUAAAAUGUUCUGCGUAUUCAGUUCCCCAUAUCGAUCACCCUGCAGCCAUGUCUCUUUGAUGUCAUUAAUCAUCUCCAUUUACCUCAAAGUAUGCAGUGAAUUCCUCAAUUUGUUUUUGAGAAUAAAGUACACAUUCAAAUAGAGUGUCUUCCAUUCAACUUUUUAAUCUAUUAUUUGCUUCUCCGUUGUCGCAUUUAACCUCAUUUUGACAGAUCAUCAAACAGUCUCACAUCGUCAUAUUCACAGAAACAGACAUGCUGGGUAUGUUUAAUGAAGCUCCAUCAGCAUCCCUGGGCUUAUCCUAUCCCUCCAGCAGGACAGAACUACCAGUGUUGGUGGCUCCAGCGUAUACGUUGUGGGUAGCUGGUGAGAAAAUGGACAUAGAUUGAGAAAUAUCAGCACAUGAUAGGUACAAUGGCAUCAGUCGUGCUGU